GGUCUUGUCAGUGGUGGAAGAGAUACUCUGGAGCUGCUGCAGUGUGUCUGGGGCUGCUGUGUGUUCUCCUACUGGCUGGGAUCAUAGGCCUGUUUCUCUACCAGAGGAACCAAUUGACCAGUUCCAACACCCUGACUGAAGAGAGAGACCAGCUACAGACCUGCGGAAACAACCUUACUGAAGAGAGAGACCAGCUACAGACUAGCAACAACACCCCGACCGAAGAGAGAGACCAGCUACAGACUAGCAAAAACACGCUGACCAAAGAGAGAAACCAGCUACAGACCAGAUACAACACCCUAACCAAAGAGAGAGACCAGCUACAGACCAGUUACAACACCCUGACCAAAGAGAGAGACCAGCUACAGAAAGAGACAGAACGUCUGAAACAAUCUUUAGUUGAGAAAGUGUGUCCUCGAGGAUGGAAGAAGCUUGGUAGCAGUUGUUACUACAUCUCUACUGAGAAAAAUCCUGGGAGGAGAGCAGACAGGACUGCAGAAAUAGAGGAGCACACCUGGUGGUCAUCAAGAGCCAAGAACAACAGACAUUUGUCAAUUGGUUAUGCGGGGUAAAGAACUAUGUCUGGAUUGGUCUGACUGACUCUGUUACUGAGGGGACCUGGAAAUGGGUGGACGACACACCACUGACCACAAAGUAUUGGAACAGUAAAGAGCCUAAUGGUGGUGGAGCAGAGCACUGUGUGUAUUUCUACUCCUGGUCAUCAGACACAGGAGAAUGGUGGGACUAUGACUGUUCCUAUAAAUACAGAUGGAUCUGUGAGAAAUAGGAUUCAUCCUCUGUACUCUCUGAACUGCUAAAUAGGAUUAUGCUCAGUAUAUCGUACAUAUUUUCUGCUUAUUCAAUUUACCUUGUCAACUACAUACAAUAUGUAACAAUACAAAUGUAGAAUACAUUAUAAUAAAAAAAAUAUGCAAUAACAAUACAAUGACUUGAUAAGAGAAGGACUGUUCUGUCUGUUGUUGAGGAAAUUCACCACUAAGGACUCAAAUUCAAAGGAAAUGAAUCAAUAUUUAUUAUCACAGUCACAGAGGUUCACUGACUCAAUACAAUCCUGAUGUUCAUUUUUAUUAUUAUUACUUUUUAGUUUAGUCUACUUGCUAAAUAUAUUUCUUAACUCUUCCCGAACUGCACUGUUGGUUAAGGGCUUGUAAGUCAGCAUUUCACGGUAAAGUCUACACUUGUUGUAUUCGGAGCAUGUGAGAAAUAAAGUUUGAUUUGAUUU